CCUACGGGGGGCAGCAGUGGGGGAUAUCGCACAAUGGGGGGAACCCUGAUGCAGCGACGCCGCGUGGGUGAAGAAGCGCCUCGGCGCGUAAAGCCCUGUCAGCAGGGAAGAAAAUGACGGUACCUGAAGAAGAAGCCCCGGCUAACGACGAGCCAGCAGCCGCGGUAAGACGUAGGGGGCAAGCGUUCUCCGGAUUUACUGGGUGUAAGGGGGGCGCAGACGGCGCUGCAAGCCAGGAGUGAAAGCCCGGGGCCCAACCCCGGGACUGCGAUUGGAACUGCGUGGCUGGGGUGCAGGAGGGGCAGGCGGAAUUCCUGGUGUAGCGGUGAAAUGCGUAGAUAUCAGGAGGAACACCGGUGGCGAAGGCGGCCUGCUGGACUGCAACUGACGUUGAGGCCCGAACGCGUGGGGAGCAAACAGGAUUAGAUACCCUUGUAGUC
rnacentral:rRNA from 1 species